UUCAGAGAGAGCAGUCAUCAAUAUUUUUGUUACAUGAUGAGAUGGUGAAAUUCGUACGCAAGCUAUGUUCCAAGUUUAUGGUUCCAGCAGCUCUGCAGUGCCAUGAGGAGCCUUGUGAAAUUGCCUUUAAAGAAAAGGCAAACCAUUUACCAGGAAGAAAGUUGAACAUUGGGUUCACAACCAGGGCUAAAUUUAACAGAUUACUCGACGAGGCUAACAUCACACCACAGCAGGUGGAUUCAUUCCAUGAAGCUGUGUUGUGUUUCCUGACAAGUGCUGUGGACUAUGCACUUAAGAAGCUGCCACUGGAAGAGCCACUGAUCA